CAUGACCCUUGGAAUCCUACAUAUAAAUAGGUUACUCCAUAGCCAAAAUCACCACUUCUUUUCUUAGAGAAAUAUGGAGGUGUUUUGGUGCAUGGAAUUCUCUCUCAAGAGCCACCUUUGUCCUAGGUGUGUUGUGAUUCCAUUUGAGGCAUUUCAUACUAUUGGUGCUAAGCUCUUAAGGCCAAAUACAUCAAGACUUCAAGCCACAUAAAAGGUAUGUUUCCCUAACUAGUAUAUUAUAUGGUUUAUGUCAAAUGCAUGCUAGUUAUAGGUUUAAUUCCUUGGAAACCAUUUGCAUGUAUAAUUAGUGAAAACAGAGAUCCAAGGUAUUUAGGGUUGUAUGUGCACCAUAGGAUGUUGUAUUAUACCAAAACCCAACAGUGGUAUCAGAGCCAUGGGUUGUUUUCUACUAUAUUUGAUGCAAAUGUAUUUUUUUUCAAGUUGAUGAAAAAAAAAAGAAAAAAAAAACAUGAAGUUUGUCAAAUUUUAUGAUAAUUACUUGAUUUUAUGAAAAACUAAUUAUUUGUAAAAUUUGAGUCACUUUACUACAAGAGUUGAAUUAGGUCAAUUUAUUAAAAGAUAGAAUGAUAUGAUUAUUUUAUUUGUUUUAAAAGUUUGAUCUAAGUGGUUUUAAGGAGUUACAAAUUUUGUCAUAAAAUUUUGGAACUCAAAAGUUUUUUUAAAGUUAUGAUCUUAAGAGUUUUGAAACUUCCAUAAGUUAUGGAUGUGAAAUGUCUCAUUUAUUAACUCUUUAGGUUAUGAAGUCCAAGAGUCUUCAAAGGAUAAUUGUCAAAGUUUCAAGAUUUGUAUUAGUUUAUAUGAUUAUCUAAUUUCUUGAAAAUUGUUGAUGUGAAUUAUCUUUACUUAUGAGUUUAAUCUAGAUCAUAGAAAAAUUAUUUGAUUAUUGUGUUAAUUGGAAUAUUUGAUCUUAAUGGUUUUUAUGAACUCCAUAACUUGUCCUCAAGUUAUGGAAAGUGAAGAGUUUUUCUUUUUAAAGUGUCAUUAAGUCUCAUAGGUUAUGAAAAUAGAAGAGUCUCUAUUUUUAAUGUCAUCAUUAAAUGAUUUAAUGUCUUCCAUAACUUGUCCUCAAGUUAUGGAACUUGAAUUUUUUUUUUUUUAAACCUUAAUUAAACUCAUAAGUUAUGAAAAAGCCAAGAGUUUUGAAAGGUUUCAAAACUUGUCCUCAAGUUUUGGAAUUUGUAAAGUUACCCCCCAUGUAUACUUUAAUUCCAAACUAGACCUUAGAAUUUUAAAAGUUAAAAUUCAACCCUUAUACUUUAUAAUAUUAUAAGUUAAUAAUAUUUAUAUAUAUGUAUAAGAGUAAAGUCAGUCUUACCGUUAGUAGGCCUCAUUCACGAAGCCGGUCUAUAAGGGGGGUAUAAGGUUACUGCCUAUAAAAUGGCAGUUUAAUGGGUGUCCACUCUCACCCACCGCUUCCUUGACCGGUGGAGGGUCGUUAGCCGAACGGGUAGGACAAGGACUAUAAUUCUCCCUUCAUUAAAAGUAUUAAUGAUAAAUACUAAGUAACUAAACCUUUUAUAAAUACCCAAUCUUAGUUACUUAGGAAAAUGUGAAUAAGGUGCUAAUCCAUGAAAUUACACUUUGCACUUUGUUUAAGUCGGUUAGUGGAGCGUGUGUGGUUAACCGGCACACUAACUCGUAUUUAACAAGGUAGGCAAAGGGUAACUUAAUGUUUAUCAUAGUAUCGAUGGAGCGUGUGUGGUUAACCGGCACAUCGAUUGAGGGGUAAACACUUAAGGGUACCAAGUAAUUUGCAUGGUUACUUCACACCUUGUUUUGUGAUCCUCGGCAUCCCAGUCACAAAACCUGAAGGGCACACUCGAGAUUGAAACAUGCCAUUGAAAAGUUCAAUGAAUCUCAAAAGAUCUAGGAGUUUCAAAACCAAUUAAAACCUAAUAAUACAUUUCGUUUAUCUUGGUGGAAAUUGGUGAAUCGUCAUUCACCUACCUUCAAAUAUUUUAUAGCUUGGAUUACGGCAUCCCUCUUCUAAGUUAUAAAAUAGUUUGUUGGGUCCUAGCCUUAAUAUUUCAUAUUGGGUGUCAUAUUAAGGACUUUAAAUCAACUAUCUUGAAUAUCUCCCAAAAGAUGUCUGGUUUAGACACCUAUGAUCUUCCCAAAUCUCUUGAAACAAGGUUUCCUAAUGAAGAUGAUGUCCCAUGGAUAUCAUACUUCUUCACCUCUUCAAAUUAUUCUCCCUAACCCACAAGUUCUUGAAAAGUUUAAGGUCACUCAGGCCCUAUUGGCAAGGCAAGGUCUAGGUGUGGUCACAUCUUGGAGAUGUAGUCACAUAUUGACAAGCCGGGAGAGUUGGGUGUCAAAGUCUUGAGAAAGUUGGUGGUUCAAUCACUUUCUAAGUCACAUAGUGAGUUCCUUUGGGACACCUAUGAAACAGACUAUGACAAGACCCUUAAUGAUCUUAUCUAUUUGUUAAGAUCAACUUCCUUAAAACUUGAUGGACAUUGACAAUAGUGACACAGGAAAUCCAGAAAAGCAUUCUCUUCCCAAUGGAAAGGGAUCGGCCAUAGUCAACUCGGUUGACCAAAUGGUAAAGAGAAAAGCUAAGUCUGUGAUAGUCCCGUGUACCAUUAUCAAAGGGUCCAUAUGUUUAUAUUGCCAAAGAAAGGGGCAUUGGUUGCGAAGCUGCCAAAUUUACCUAAGGAUGUUAAAGUCAAUAAGUUUGACUCUACUUCAGGUAAAGUCCACUAUCUAACUCUGUUAAGUUUCUAUUCUGAGAUUCUUGAUACAUGAUGUGACUGGGUCACAUGGUGAUGUUUUAAGAAUCAAAGAAAAGUGAAGAAACUUAAAGAAAGAAUAUGCUGAAUCUGAUCGCGUAGAUGGAUUUCUAUCGCAUAGUUUGAAGAUCGGAUUCUUGAGCUACUUCUUAGGAGUUAUGAGAUAUUGCUUAGGAAUAGAUAACAACAAGUUUUCAUAUGGAUUGUAAGGAUAAGUUUUUCCGCAAAGUUUUAAAAUAAAAGAAAAUUUUUUAUUUUAUUUAUUUUAAAAUAUCCUUACAAUGGCAUUUGAGGAAAAAUUGUUGCUUAUAUGAUUCCAUUAAGAGCAAGAGUGGAAAUAUGAAAUUGAUUCUUUCAUUUGUGGUAAUGUCUAAAUUUACCAAAUAAGGAAAGAUUCUCAUCACCCAAGUUUCAAUUGGACCGGAACUUGGAAUCAUGCAAGUUGUAUAGCAUGAUGAAUGAGAACUUUCAAGUUUUGGAAAAUUAAGACUAAUUACUUGUUCACAUGGAUGUGUGAGUCAAGUAAAGGACUUAGGGAUCGAGUACACAUUCUUGUGCACUGAUUAAGUCCACCACUAAAGAUCGAUAAGAAGAAUCAAAUAAGGCAGAAGGAUAAAAGUUUCUCAAAUCUGAAAAGAUGGGAGAGUACUUUAGUAUCAGUUUUGUGAUCAUCUUAAUGAUUAAGAAACCAUAUCAAAAUUAGUUCUCUAAGGAAAUCUUAGUGCAUUCUUAUGACUAAGAAGAGGAACUUGAAUUGUUGAAAUGGUUAAAUCAAGAAGAUGAGUCAUACUUCGUUCCAAUACAAGUCUUAGAGUCAUACUCCAAGAUUGUCAUUUGAGUGACAUGUCUUAAAGAAGGUUUAAAACACUUGUCAAAUGUAAGAGUAAAAGUUUUCUACUCUUGUACAUUUGAAAUUGGUAAGUUGUGAUGUUUUGGAUAAAACAAAGACCAACUUAGGCCAAUUGGGUAAAGUGUUUUUCUUGAUUAGAAUCCGCACUAUCUCUUGGAUGUUUGACAAGGGAGUCUUAUAUGUCAAGAGGACAGUGGGAGUCUUAAAGGUCUUGAAAGUCUCAAGAAAUAAUCAAGAAUAAAACCUAAAGUUCUUCACUAGCACACGACUUGAGGUUCAUAACCUAUCGUGUUGACAUAUUCUGUGCCCAUUCCAGUUAAAGUUGGUUUUGCAUAUGAGUUCUUAGAGUUCUCAAUUUGUUGCACAACAACUUGGAAGCAAUGGCAGGCCCUUGAGCUGCCAGGUGGCAAGAAGUUAAGAUUGAGUUCAAUCCAUAUGGUUUUGGAUUUGUCAUUAUCUUUGUCUUGUGAUUAUGGUUUGACAAAUUCAUAUGGGUAGGAACUCAUACACCAUAUAAAUCUAAGUGUCAUAAGGUUUCUCUCCGAUUCAUGAAAAUGAUGGUGAGGAAACGCUUUCACUAAGUAGAUUUUACGAAGAUAUCAAUUGUGUUAUUUGCAUUUUCAAAAGUCGUUAGUGGAGCGCGUGUGGUUAACCGGCACACUAACAUGGACUUGUGAGAAAUGGCAAAUGCCUAAGCAAUUGAGACCAUGAUUACGGUAUCCCUUUUCAUGGUUCUUGAAAUUGCUUAGACACACAGGUGAGCUAUCUACGGAAAGGGUGUAUGAAUCUAAAUUUCAGACUGUCCAGCUGAUUUCUGAGUACAUGUCAAAGCUAGUGGGAGCAUAAGUGUUAUGCUAAUAAUCAUCAUGUUAGUGGGAGCAUGAUAAUUAUGAUAAGUAUUGCAAGUUAGCAAUGUUAAUUAUAGAAAACAAAAGUUUCAAUUGGGAAAAAGUUGUUUUGCUAUAAUUAAGGGAGAGGAAAUUAUGCUUCAUCUCAAAUCUAUAAGCUUAGAUCGUGAGGUUUUAAUCAUUUAGUCAAGGAUAUAUAUGAAUUUCAUGUUGGAAUGGCUCAACAUAAGGAAAUUCUGUAUAUGGGUCCAUUAUUUGCGUUCUAAAAUUCGAUUAUGAUUACGGCAUCCCUUUUCAUAAUCUGAAUUAUGAGAACUUGGCAAAUUGAAAUGGAAAUAUUAUAGCAAAAGACUGGUUUAGUCUUUAUGUAAGACAUCAUGAAUCGUGUCCCAUAUGCUUCGGAUAUAGGAUCGAUUACAUGUGCUAUAUUCAUCCGUUCUAAAAUUUUCCAAAUGCCUGGGGCAUUAAGAAGGGAAAAGGUUUAGAACUGGAUAUGACUAAAAGGAUUAAACAAUUGUCGAGGACAAUCUAAGGUUUACCAAAGAUUGGUUACUCAAGGACAAUUGGAAGUAUAGUGAUAAUUCUGGAAGGACCAUAUUGACAUAAUCUGUAAGGAGGCAACUCUUGUUCAGAAGUGAUAGUCAAAAUGGAAUCUGGAAAUGUUUCAAAGUUAGAAUUUUCAAUCUGUGUAAGAUUAAGGAAACUUAAUGCAAGAAGGAUAUUUCCAAGGAGUUGAUCUCCUUUGGAAUACUCUGUAAUGAUUGUUGCCAAGUCUUUGUGACUUUGUGCAUAAUCAUUACAAGAGGAUCAAUGCAUAUAAGUUUAGAAUCUAACAGAUUUCAGUAAAUGGCAUGAAUUUGGAAUUCUUGCAUUUGCAGUAAGGAUUUGGGAGUGUGAAAAGAGAAUCAUUGAAGUUAUGUUCAAUUGAUCUAGUUCACAAAGUAAAGAUCAUAGACAAACAUAGUAUGCAUACUUGGUGUGUGGCAUGACUAGUGUUUAAGAAAACAUAGUGUACAUGCUUGGAGCAUGGGACAACUAUUGUUUUAAAUUCAAGAAUAAAGUUGAUAGCUGAAACAGUAUACAAUGAAUAAUGUGUAAUCAUAUGGUGAUAAAUAAAAGGUGUUUUAUUUAUGUUCAAAGGGUUGAUACCAUAUUGGAUUCAAUUAUUAUUGUGUUUCAUUUUGCAUGUUUUGACUUCCCGAAUAAACUGGGUUAUUCUUCCGGAAUGACUAAGUUAUUCAAACCAUCCACAGUCGGUCAUAUGUUGGAAGUAGAUAUGAAUUAAGACUGUCAUGGGUUGGCUUGUAGAGGUCUAAGGUGUUGGACAAAGGGCUACAACACUCAUGAGUGCUCAUAAGUUCUGAGUAUUGGAUUCAACCCGCGCUCAUUGGAAUCACUUCAUGGAUUUUAUCACGAGUGAUCAUGAGACGAUAAUAUCUUAUAUUCUUCAAACCUAGAGAUAUGAGUUGUUACUAUGAGUUGGUUGUACAUUGAUUGCACGAAAACGCAUUGGUAACUCGAUGUUAUAAAACGUGCCUUUGUGUAUGAUUCAACAAGUAGUAGAACAAGCCAUAUGAGUCGAAGUUUAUCCAUUCCUUUUACCUUCGGGAUAAAAGCGAUAUCUGUGGGCCCCUCGAUGAUUUGAUGAUGACAAAUGGAAGUGCUUGGCCGGGCCAGGACUGAUUUGAUUUGUUCAAUUAGUCAGUCAUCAUAAAUCGGAAAUCGGGAAACAACAAAUGGACAGAGAGAAUGAUUAUAAUCCAUGUCUCAGUCCAUAUGAUAUCUAGAAUGGAGGAAUAUAUGAUCCCUUAUCUAAUGGACGCGUCAUUGAUUUGUUCAGAGUUCGACAGCGACUUUAAGAGCUACGAUUGCUAGUCGGGUUAUGAAGUCGUACUUGCAAUAAUAGUUUUAGACUUAUCCAAGUGGGAGACUGUUGGAUUAGAUGUCUAAGCCCAUAACUAUUAUUGGUAUGUACUUGACCCGAGAGUAGCAUGGUCCAUUUGGGUUGCAUAUCAUCAGGACAAUUUGUUAGGAUGGACUUUUGAGAGAAGGUUAUUUAUGGUUUAUUAAUAUAUUAUAAGUUAUAAUAUAUUAAUAUGAAAUCAUAUGUUUUAAUUAGCAUCGAUCAAUAAUUAAUUUGGAAUUAAUUUAUUGAUCAAAAGAGACUAAUUAAAUCUAUGGGGACUAAUUAUGAUAAUUAGUUAUAUUUAUAUGUGUUGGGCUUAUGAUCCAUGUUGGACCAAGUUUAUGUAUGGAUACAUAAAGAUUUGGGCCACAUGAACCAUGGAUCAUAAAACCCAUGGGUAUGGAUUAUGGGUUAUACCCAUGACCCUUGGAAUCCUACAUAUAAAUAGGUUACUCCAUAGCCAAAAUCACCACUUCUUUUCUUGGAGAAAUAUGGAGGUGUUUUGGUGCAUGGAAUUCUCUCUCAAGAGCCAUCUUUGUCCUAGGUGUGUUGUGAUUCUAUUUGAGGCAUUUCAUACUAUUGGUGCUAAGCUCUUAAGGCCAAAUACAUCAAGACUUCAAGCCACAUAAAAGAUAUGUUUCCCUAACUAGUAUAUUAUAUGGUUUAUGUCAAAUGCAUGCUAGUUAUAGGUUUAAUGCCUUGGAAACCAUUUGCAUGUAUAAUUAGUGAAAACAUAGAUCCAAGGUUUUUAGGGUUGUAUG
rnacentral:lncRNA from 1 species